CACAAUCAAGUAAUCUCUCUAAAGUCAAGGGGGCAUGCCCAAGUCAUCUAUCUCUCUCAUUUCUAGAUGUCACACCCAAGUCAUCUCUCUCUCAUUUCUAGAUGGCACGCCCAAGCUAAGGUUAGAUCUCUCUCGUUUCUAGAUGGCACGCCCAAGCUAAGGUUAGAUCUCUCUUUUUCUAGAUGACAUGCCCAAGUCAUCUCUCUCUCUCGUUUCUAGAUGCUUCUCUCUCGUCUUUAGAUGGCACGCCCAAGCUAAUGUUAGCUUGUGGUAGUUUGAUUUUUGGAUAGCAAACGCCUUUGCUAGUAGGUCUCUCCCUCUCUCUUUGAUCUAUCUCGCAUCUCUCCAAAUAUCAAACCAAAGGGGCUUGAGCAAGACUAAGGCAUAGAAGACUUAGGUAGUUGGUUUUAGAUCGAGAUCCAUAUGCUAUUGAGAGGGCUUUGCCAUAUUUGGGAGAAACAAGAGAACGACCAUAGAUCUCGAGCACCAUUAAAAGGUUUUUGUUAUAUGUAGGAGAAUCAAGAGACCAAUCAUAAAUCUUGAGCACCAUCGGAAGGAGGAGACUCGGUGUGGGGUGUACUAAGCCUGAUUGAGAUAAUAUCCAACACUCUCUUUUUGUUUAUUAUCAUAUUUAAUUAUAUUGUCAAGCAUAUGAAUUAUAGAUAUUUUCUUGGCAUCAAGGUUUUUAAGAUCUUGGAUUUGUUAGUUUUA
rnacentral:lncRNA from 1 species